GGGGCUAUAGCUCAGUCGGUUAGAGCCGCGGACUCAUAAUUCGUAGGUCGCGGGUUCAAGUCCCGCUAGCCCCA
rnacentral:tRNA from 1 species